rnacentral:lncRNA from 1 species
CUGAUGAUGGCUUUCUUGCAGCUAACAGUCGCGGUAAGCAGUUGUGGAGUAGGAGGCGUAACUCGAUGUCUGGAAGGUGGCUUCUGUGUGACAUUUUCCUCCCUGAUUAAAGCAGAGGGACGGAAGCACCCCCUAGUGCCACACGGUCAUCUCUUUUUUAGCUCAGUAUUUCAUUGUGAAGGUAAGACAUGUGCUUGGGGCCAAUGCAGUGGCCCCGCCAAGCCCAACAGCUGCAGUGCAGUGUGUUGGACCCACCCAUACAGUGGUAGGAGAGAAUUGACUUCAGCAAGCUGUCCUCUGACCUCCACAUAUAUGUCCACCCCACUCCAAUACAUUAAAAAUAGAAUUGAUACUUAAUAAAAAAAAUAAGUGAAAUUCUCAAAGAAUAAGUAUUUCUUUACAAAAGAUACUUAGAACUGGGAUCAGCACUUCCAGAUAAACAAGGGAAGACAACAGUUGGUAAAUAUGGCUCACAGGGUUGGAAGGAGCCUGGGACCUUGAUAAGAUCACCGGGACACUGCAAUGGCCAAGCUGUCUGCCUUUUACUUCUGUUCUUUAAUAUGCUUACAAUUCCUUUACCUACAUCUGAUGACGUCAUUCCUAGACCUCUGGGGGAUAGAGCAAUGGAGGAAGAGAGAGAGGAGAUAGGCUAUGGUGGGUAGAGAAAGCUCAGGAAGUGGUUUUCAAGUCUUCUAGAGCACUCGGACUUGAUGGGAAAGUGGCUCCAGAUCGGAAAGUGCAGAGGGCACCACAUGCACCUUUCCCUUUACACUGCCAUGAACUUGAUGGUUGGUAAGCCUGGGAUUCACUCAGGGGUUUGAAGAGAAAGAACACAAGUCACACACAGGGAGGGAGGAGUCUUCAACUCUAAGAUCGAUUUCCCUCUGUCAGCCAUUACGAGUGGGGCCUUGGGUGCCUGUUUGAUAAGCGGGGCGCUUUUGGCCUUGUUACUGCUGAUUCUUUCCCACACCUCCUAAACCCCAGGUUAACCGAUUUUGACGCUUCAGACACAGCACAGUGAUGCAAAUGAAUAGGUUAUGUUUUCCAAAACUUCCUGUGAUUGGAAGUAUUUACUGGCAGGGCACUUACUCACAUCCGCUGUUCUUUCUCCUAGAUCAAUGGAGUCUCCUCAAGACAAAGAACGGAGAGCGUGUUGUCAAUUUUGGACUGGAAUUGAAAUGUUCUAUACGUUUCAGCCAUGCCCAGCCAGUACAGAAGAACCCCAGCGCUGCUUUUGUGUGAAAGGGAAACAUAAGGAAAGGCACGGAUUACCAAAGUUUUUGAGGAUUAAGGUUUAAAUCUUCCAAUCAUAAAAGGAUAUCCAUUGCCUAAUCAAAGAAUAUGUUUCAAGACUUGAGUGUGAAAUUCUUCAUAACACAAGAAUGCAUUUACAUUUUGAGCACGAGAUAUGAAUGAGAACGACUUUUCAGGCACUGUGAAUGUCCCCAGCCAUUCUGCUAAUCAGCACUGCCUGUGCUAUAAAAAGUAAAAUUAAAAGUGGAUGUGUUUAGGGUCACUGCUUACCCACCCACCCAUGUGCGGUCCUUCUGGUCUGGGGUUUGCUUACUUUGGCUGUUUAGAUCUGACCUGAUC